rnacentral:rRNA from 1 species
AGAGUUUGAUCCUGGCUCAGGAUGAACGCUAGCUACAGGCUUAACACAUGCAAGUCGAGGGGCAGCGGGAUUGAAGCUUGCUUCAAUUGCCGGCGACCGGCGCACGGGUGCGUAACGCGUAUGCAACCUACCCAUAACAGGGGGAUAACACUGAGAAAUUGGUACUAAUACCCCAUAACAUCAGGACCGGCAUCGGUUCUGGUUGAAAACUCCGGUGGUUAUGGAUGGGCAUGCGUUGUAUUAGCUGGUUGGUGAGGUAACGGCUCACCAAGGCGACGAUACAUAGGGGGACUGAGAGGUUAACCCCCCACAUUGGUACUGAGACACGGACCAAACUCCUACGGGAGGCAGCAGUGAGGAAUAUUGGUCAAUGGACGCAAGUCUGAACCAGCCAUGCCGCGUGCAGGAUGACGGCUCUAUGAGUUGUAAACUGCUUUUGUACGAGGGUAAACGCAGAUACGUGUAUCUGUCUGAAAGUAUCGUACGAAUAAGGAUCGGCUAACUCCGUGCCAGCAGCCGCGGUAAUACGGAGGAUUCAAGCGUUAUCCGGAUUUAUUGGGUUUAAAGGGUGCGUAGGCGGUUUGAUAAGUUAGAGGUGAAAUUUCGGGGCUCAACCCUGAACGUGCCUCUAAUACUGUUGAGCUAGAGAGUAGUUGCGGUAGGCGGAAUGUAUGGUGUAGCGGUGAAAUGCUUAGAGAUCAUACAGAACACCGAUUGCGAAGGCAGCUUACCAAACUAUAUCUGACGUUGAGGCACGAAAGCGUGGGGAGCAAACAGGAUUAGAUACCCUGGUAGUCCACGCAGUAAACGAUGAUAACUCGUUGUCGGCGAUACACAGUCGGUGACUAAGCGAAAGCGAUAAGUUAUCCACCUGGGGAGUACGUUCGCAAGAAUGAAACUCAAAGGAAUUGACGGGGGCCCGCACAAGCGGAGGAACAUGUGGUUUAAUUCGAUGAUACGCGAGGA